rnacentral:lncRNA from 1 species
UCGGGGACUCUGGCUAGCGCAGACUCUAAGUUGCUCACCCGACCUCGCGCUGCCGAGGUAAGAUCGGUAUAAGGGAAAAGAAAACAAAACACUUAGGAAAAAGCUUAAAAGGAAUAAUCAUAUAAAUGUUCAUACUUAGCAUUAACAUUGUAUAUACGAUACAAGGCCUACUGGCCUUAACAUCUACAAAAAGAAAAAGAAA